rnacentral:sRNA from 1 species
UCUGGGCAUGGUGGCUCAUGCUUGUAAUCUCAUCAACUUGGGAGGCUGAGACAGGAGGAUCGUGAGUUCAAAGCCAGCCUCAGCAACUUAGCAAGGCCCUGAGGAACUCAGCAAGACCCUGUCUCUA